rnacentral:rRNA from 1 species
AUUGAACGCUGGCGGCAGGCCUAACACAUGCAAGUCGAGCGGAUGAAGGGAGCUUGCUCCUGGAUUCAGCGGCGGACGGGUGAGUAAUGCCUAGGAAUCUGCCUGGUAGUGGGGGAUAACGUCCGGAAACGGGCGCUAAUACCGCAUACGUCCUGAGGGAGAAAGUGGGGGAUCUUCGGAUCUCACGCUAUCAGAUGAGCCUAGGUCGGAUUAGCUAGUUGGUGGGGUAAAGGCCUACCAAGGCGACGAUCCGUAACUGGUCUGAGAGGAUGAUCAGUCACACUGGAACUGAGACACGGUCCAGACUCCUACGGGAGGCAGCAGUGGGGAAUAUUGGACAAUGGGCGAAAGCCUGAUCCAGCCAUGCCGCGUGUGUGAAGAAGGUCUUCGGAUUGUAAAGCACUUUAAGUUGGGAGGAAGGGCGGUAAGUUAAUACCUUGCUGUUUUGACGUUACCAACAGAAUAAGCACCGGCUAACUUCGUG